rnacentral:rRNA from 1 species
CAGCCGCCGCGGUAAAACAGAGGGUGCGAGCGUUAAUCGGAUUUACUGGGCGUAAAGCGUGCGUAGGCGGCUUCUUAAGUCGGAUGUGAAAUCCCUGAGCUUAACUUAGGAAUUGCAUUCGAUACUGUGAAGCUAGAGUAUGGGAGAGGAUGGUAGAAUUCCAGGUGUAGCGGUGAAAUGCGUAGAGAUCUGGAGGAAUACCGAUGGCGAAGGCAGCCAUCUGGCCUAAUACUGACGCUGAGGUACGAAAGCAUGGGGAGCAAACAGGAUUAGAUACCCCUGUAGUCCCUGUCUCUUAUAC